rnacentral:tRNA from 1 species
GCGGUCGUCGUCCAGAGCGCGGAGAGUCUGGUCCAGGACAUCAGCCCUCCAAGCUGGUAACCCGGGUUCAAAUCCCGGCGACCGCA